rnacentral:rRNA from 1 species
CCCUUAGAUGUUCUGGGCCGCACGCGUGCUACACUGAGUGGAUCAGCGGGUCAGGUUGCGCGAAAGUGUUUCCUAAUCUUUAAAUCCGCUCGUGAUGGGGAUUGACGGUUGCAAUUUUCCGUCAUGAACGAGGAAUACCUUGUAAGCGCGGGUCAUCAUCCCGCGCUGAAUACGUCCCCGCCCUUUGUACACACCGCCCGUCGCUCCUACCGAUUGAGUGGUCCGGUGAGGCUUUGGGAUCUGAGCGGAAAGAGCGUUUCGCUGUUUCUGCCCGGAAAACUCAGUCGAACCUUAUCAUUUAGAGGAAGGAGAAGUCGUAACA